UCGAGUAUGGUGUAACGGCUAACAUGAUCGCUUUUCACGCGGUAGCUCGUGGUUUGAUUCCCCGUAUUCGAA